CGUAAACAACGAAACGUAUAAUCAUAUAUCGACAGCAAAAUCCUGUAAACGCACGGUUUUCAUCGAAAGUUCUUCAUUUUAAUUAUGCUUACAUUAUAAUUGUACCCAACUAUACUUCUGCUGACCACCAUGAUGGCCAUUGCCUACCUAUACCGGAUUUAAAAUUACCAUAAAAACCUCCUGGCUUCGUGUAAAUCACGUGCAUUUGUAUUGUAUUAUACAUUUGACCACCGUUGUAUUUCUCGGCCAAAUAUUUGUUUA